rnacentral:lncRNA from 1 species
GGGGGGUGGUAUAUAUCUGCAUAUAUAAAUUGAUUGAAUAUAAGAAAAGAGGCUGCUUUCGUUGGUGGUUGGAGUUGGUAUAGAAAAUGGUUUUGUAUAGGAGUUGAGAUGGCUCCUUCAUUGAAGUAGGUGACUUUCAAACAUUGAACUAAAAUUAGAGAAAGAGUUAGUUUGGCUGCUUUAUUUAAUGGAGUUGAUUUUUUAUUUGACUUUUUAGGUUUUUCCUUUUCUACUUGGAUUUUUCUUUGCUUUGACUUUGAAGGGUUCCUUUGUUACUACUGGUACUUGUAUUAAUUGGAAACGAAGUAUUUU